AACGUAGGUGGCUAGCGUUGCCCGGAAUCACUGGGCGUAAAGCGGGUGUAGGCGGUUCUUUAAGUCGGAUGUGAAAUCCAGCGGCCCAACCGCUGAAUUGCAUCCGAUACUGGGGAACUUGAGGACGGUAGAGGUCGGUGGAAUAUCCGGUGUACCGGUGAAAUGGACAGAUAUCGGAUAGAACACCAGUGGCGAAGGCGGCCGACUGGGCCGUUCCUGACGCUGAGAGACGAAAGCUAGGGGAGCGAAUGGG
rnacentral:rRNA from 1 species